AGUGAACGCUGGCGGCAGGCCUAACACAUGCAAGUCGAACGGCAGCACGGGAGAGCUUGCUCUCUGGGUGGCGAGUGGCGGACGGGUGAGGAAUGCGUCGGAAUCUGCCUAUUUGUGGGGGAUAACGUAGGGAAACUUACGCUAGUACCGCAUACGACCUACGGGUGAAAGUGGGGGACCGCAAGGCCUCACGCAGAUAGAUGAGCCGACGCCGGAUUAGCUAGUUGGCGGGGUAAAGGCCCACCAAGGCGACGAUCCGUAGCUGGUCUGAGAGGAUGAUCAGCCACACUGGAACUGAGACACGGUCCAGACUCCUACGGGAGGCAGCAGUGGGGAAUAUUGGACAAUGGGCGCAAGCCUGAUCCAGCCAUGCCGCGUGUGUGAAGAAGGCCUUCGGGUUGUAAAGCACUUUUGUCCGGAAAGAAAAGCAUUCGGCUAAUAACCGGGUGUUAUGACGGUACCGGAAGAAUAAGCACCGGCUAACUUCGUGCCAGCCGCCGCUGUAAUAC
rnacentral:rRNA from 1 species